rnacentral:rRNA from 1 species
UUUACUUAUUAAUCUAAAAACUAAUUUUUGGAGUGGUUUUUUGAGAUUCGAAAGUCCUUUGGUUUUGGGGAAGAUAAAAGAUAAGUGACCUCCUAAAUACAUGCUAGUAUCUAAAGAUUAGUCGAUAGUGUGCGAACAGGUGAGGAAACCCGGAGGCCAAGUUUGGCUGGGCCGGAGUCGUAUUAGGUAGAAGGGGGUGUAAAGGACCACCUUGCUUAUGAUGCGGAGCUUUAGUUUGGAGCCACAUUUUCACUGAGACAAGGGGAAAGCUCAAAUGGGGCGUUGGCCCCCGAGGCAGCAGUAAAGAAUUUUGUGCAAUAUACGAAGGUAGGACACAGAGAGGGCACCUUUACCUAAUCCGUCAAAUUAAGUGCCAGCAGACGCGGUGAAACUUAAGGGUUAGUCUUAUAGGCAAAAGCGUAAAGGGUGUGAUAGGCCGUCUUAUUUAAGAAGGUAAAUGGAAUUUUUCUGUAACGGUGGAAUGUGUUAAUAGAAAAAAGAACUUUAGACGUGAAGACUAUUUAUCUCUAAGGUUAUAAUGUGGUGGCUAAAACACGAGAGUAUAGGGAGCAAACAGGAUUAGGUAUCCUGGUAGUCUGUACUGUAAAUAAUGAAGAAGAUGUGAAGCAAUCCUAAAAAGUAAAAAUUUUCCGCUUGAGUAGUACGAUCGCAAGAUUAAAAUUCAAAAAACUUGGCUGUUCACUGUUUUAAUUAGAGGAGCGUGUCGUUUAAUUCGAUAGUCCGCGAGAGACCUUACCCAAACUUGAAUCCCUUAUUGACAGGUAUUGCAUGGCCGUCGUCAAUUUGUGUGUUAAACAUAAAACAAAUUUAACCCAGUGGUUUGUCUAUUGGAUGAAGUCAGGUCUUAUUGUCCUAAUGUUUGGGGAUUAGAUGCGCUACAUUUUUUUAUACAAUGGGAAACUUUGAAUGUGAAACCCUAAAAUAAGAGUUCGGAAGGUGCCUGGAAGAUAACGGAAAGUUGGAUUUAAUAGUAAUUGAAAAGUAGAGCGUUUCAAUGAAAUUUACUCAGUGUUAGUACAAAUUGCCCGUCGCCUUUGCUUAGAAAGGUAGUUUGGUUGCCCCUUAAAAGGGUUUCAAAUAUCUCCGAGGUAGAGUAAGUCGUAACAUAGUGAGGGUGAGGGAACUGGCCCUUGGGAGGGAGGGGAAAGAUAACCUUUUUCUCUUCGGUGAAAUUUUAAAGAUCGAUGUUUGGUCUCCGUGAUUCGGUUUUGAAUUUGAUGGAGUGUUUUAUGCUGAUUGACUGUAAAUUAGCAUAGGGCAGGUUAUUGUUUGAUG